CCUACGGGAGGCUGCAGUGGGGAAUAUUGCACAAUGGGCGCAAGCCUGAUGCAGCGACGCCGCGUGGGGGAUGACGGCCUUCGGGUUGUAAACUCCUUUCGCUAGGGACGAAGCGUUUUUGUGACGGUACCUGGAGAAGAAGCACCGGCUAACUACGUGCCAGCAGCCGCGGUAAUACGGAGGGUGCGAGCGUUGUCCGGAAUUACUGGGCGUAAAGAGAUCGUAGGUGGGUUGUCGCGUCGUUUGUGUAAGGCCGCAGCUUAACUGCGGGACUGCAGGCGAUACGGGCAUAACUGGAGUGCUGUAGGGGAGACUGGAAUUCCUGGUGUAGCGGUGGAAUGCGCAGAUAUCAGGGGGAACACCGAUGGCGAAGGCAGGUCUCUGGGCAGUAACUGACGCUGAGGAGCGAAAGCAUGGGUAGCGAACAGGAUUAGAUACCCGUGUAGUCCG
rnacentral:rRNA from 1 species